GCUUCUCAACGACCUCUUCAGCAAGACUGAUCUACAACCCGGACUGCAAGUUCAAGACUUUGAUCUUGGGGAUCGGCAGCGAUGGGGGGAGAAAGGACGUCCCAAAGGACUCUAUUGCUCGUCCUCGUAGGCGUCUUCGUGAUCCAUUUCGCUUCGACCCUCAAGCAUGACCUCAGUCCUCCUUGGACCUCCAGCCUCCGACCUCCGACGUUGUCUGAUUCCUGUCUCCCGAAGGACAGCGCAAAAAGUCAAAUGCGACAGAGAGACAAUCUCAUAAAACA
rnacentral:lncRNA from 1 species